UACGUAGGGGGCAAGCGUUGUCCGGAUUUAUUGGGCGUAAAGCGCUCGCAGGCGGCUUGCUACGUCGUGCGUGAAACACCCCGGCUCAACUGGGGAGGGUCGUGCGAUACGGGCAGGCUGGAGGCAGGCAGGGGAGAACGGAAUUCCCGGUGUAGCGGUGAAAUGCGCAGAUAUCGGGAGGAACACCGGUGGCGAAGGCGGUUCUCUGGGCCUGUACUGACGCUGAGGAGCGAAAGCGUGGGGAGCGAACAGG
rnacentral:rRNA from 1 species